rnacentral:misc_RNA from 1 species
UUGAUAAGCGUGAGGUCGGAGGUUCAAGUCCUCCCAGGCCCACCAAUUUAUGCUCGUUUUUUACUUAUCCUGAGAGUUAUGAAGCUUAAGCGUAUUAAACGUAUCAAAGCCUCUUUAAUCUUUGUUUAUCGUUUAAAGGUUUUAUUUUAUCCUUCAAAAAUUGUUUGUUGAAUUUAUCUCAUUACGUUUAUCAAACAGUGCCUUUGUCAAAAGAAGGAUUUUAAGUUCUCUUCAAGAGGAUAGACAAAUUUAAAGGAUAAAAGCUAAAAAAUGAUACAAAUCAAUACAAGUCAAAAUAAUAUUGAUCGAAAAAAUAGUAUUGAUUAAAAGAGGACAAGUUACUCAAGUUGAUAAUUUUUUUGAGGUUGAUUUGAGAGAACAUUCUUUAGGGGCCGUAGCUCAGCUGGGAGAGCACCUGCUUUG